AGUUGUGUGUGUAGUGCAGAGCGGAUAGAGAGGGAGAAGACGAGGGGGAGACAGAUGAGGGAAAGAGCAUUUUGAGAGAAAGGGGAAGAGAGAGAGAGAUGAGUGUUGUUCCUGUGAGCAACAAUGGAGAAGAUGGGAUGCUCACUAAGAAGAUAAACUCUGUGGGAAAUCCUCCUAAGAGGGAAAGAACGGGGGCUCGUCUCCAUCUGAGGGUUGAAGGCUGCAGCAAGAGCCAGAUCAAACGUUCUGUGACUUUAUCACAUCCACCUGUCACACUCUGCAGGCUGCCAGGUUCCCCCAUCACUGCAUCACGGCUAUGAAAUCAAUCUGCUGAGGGACGGGGGAUCGGAUUGAGGGAUCACAGUGAUUGAUAAGAGACACCGGCAGGAAUCUGCUGGAGUUGUAAGCAGAGUUUAGAUAAGUGCAGACUGGGAAAUCAACAUCGCCAGAAGGUACUGCAAGGCUCAUCUGUAUGGCGGAGUGGCGGUAUGUCACACUAAAGAAGUGGAAAAGAAAAACAGAGCCUUGAGGAGUAAACAUUCGUCUAUGCGGUGAAAGGGACUGGCCGACUUUCCUUAAAUAUUCAGCAGAAGCAAGUGUGCAUCAUGCCAAGGAGCACUCACAAUGCACCAGGCAAUAGAGAUAGUGUAUAAUGUCCACAUGGGGAACAUGGGUAAUGAUGAUAUAAUGGAUUCACACUUCUUCUCUUAAAUGAGGAUGUAGCUGAUACUCAGCUUCACUCAUUUGCUGAAAAUAAACCAAGGACAUCAUGGAAGCAACUUAAAAUGUCCUAUCUGAACUGACCAACCCUGGACACGGCCGUCCACUCCUCGUUAU